CGUUACGUUGACGAUACUUGCGCCACCCAACGAUAACGCGAUAUGGCUUGGAAACCUCCGAUACACCUGUUAAAGGGCUGCGCAGAUCGCUCGUCCUCUCCGUAAGAUAUAAUGGGAAUGGAAAGUAUGAUUUUACAAAAACGGGCAACGUUACUUUACCUUACUUUAUCAGGGAUAAACGUAUUCCUUUGAAAUCACUUCGCCUGCUUGUCAUUACCCGCGAUCAACUACUACCAAAAACCGCGUCCAAGAGGUAAUAUCCCCCAUCCGAAUAUUCGAGUAAUUUCGCACGGUUCGCGGCGAGAGGAAUUCGGCCAUCUCGCGCGAGCGUGCAGGGAACGAUCUCACCGGAACAGGGCAAGACCCGUGCAAGGUGGAACGCCGUCCAGGGUGGCCCAUUACAGCCUCCUCAAUGACACCAGAUUAUCCGUGGUCCUCCGGGCGCGCGGUGAUUUCUGUUCCGUUGCACCGCACUACUACGUGCUACCUACGGGAAAGAAGCCUAAUUUCGUUUUAACCGUGAGCGCCGCGCCGCGCCGCGUUAUCAGACGACCAUCAUUUGUCCCGGUGGACAGGUGGCGAAAUGAAGGACCACACCGCACGUUCAAUUCCCUUGAUAUGCGUGUACCGAGAUUUUCGUACACGCAGCAUACGAACACACUCACCCGGAUGUACGGUUCAGAUUCCGAUCGCGCGCGGUCAGCUUCCGUAAUUAUGACGAUUGGAGGGCGAUUACGUUUUUGCAGGCCCAUGCCCGAUGGGGUACUCGACUUGCAUCAGACAAUUGCGUAUGUACAGAUUUCUUUUUACUCUUUUGAAACGAUUUUUACGAGAAAGGAAUUAGGCUCGAAUUUGAUUCGAUUAAUUUCAUCUGAUUGAAGUGCAGAUUUGUGUAGGUAGAUUCAGAGAACCGAUUAUUGCACGCAUGUAAGUAUCGCUUGUACCGUUAUGCGAAAUGAUUGGCAUGAUUGUACAUACUAUAUAUACUUCGAAUUUGUGAAUAUGUAGUUACAUUUCGAAUGCAAAAGGUAUGGAAAGAAAUACGGAAUGAAAGAAAAGGUUGCAGGGUGCAUAAUAAGUCAUCUAGGCUAGAGUCCGUGAAAAUUAUACUUUUUCAUGUUGCCUACAUAAUAUCUAUACAUUUUUCCAAAUACUACAUAAUUAGAUUUCCCUGUGAUGCGAUGACCCAACUGAUCUGAAAUUUCUUAAUUGGUGAUAUCCGUUUCUGAAUAUCGGGGAUCACUGUUUUCAAGCAUAAACGCUAGUUCUGAAACUUGUGACACAAAUUCGGUAGCGUCUAUGGACCACCAAAGGAGAAACGGUCGAUUUCCUUGAAAUUGCAGUCGUCUGGAUUGGGCGGAUACGACCCGCGAUUAGAUGUUUCGCAAAAAUGAAAGGAUCCGCCGGCAAAAAAUCAAUAUUCCUGUACGACGAAUUGAGAUACAAGGUAGUUGACGGCGAUUAGGAGCUACCGGUGUGGCCCGAUUCACGUGGUGUGGCUAAUCUGUAAUUGUAUGGAAUCGCGAAUCACCGGCCCUCUAGACCGUCCCGUGGGCUACCGCCAUCCGACUGUCAAGAGACAUAGUUCUGACAUGCUAAAUCCCUUGGACUCAACACCAGCUGUCAGGAAAUUAACACAGACUGCUCAAUUUCUCUCGUACCAUUAAAAAAUUACCAACAAACCGUCGAGACCCACGCAGCCAAAUGUUUGAAACUGAACACCGAAGUCAUCAGGAGAUUAACACAACCUGCAGACGAUUUCUCCGGCUUGCUCUGUCACAAAAGCCUCGGGAAACAAAUCGUCGAGAGUGCACGGCCCCGGCGGAGGAGCCACCGCGCCAGGAAGGACCUUCAUCCUGACAAAUGAUGCAAGUUGCCGUCACGCCGCCACGGAAUAAUUACGCGGCCCUGGAAACACGGGAAGCUGGCGAAGGAAAGAAAAACAGCGGCGAUCAUGGCACGGCCAAAGCUUGAAAAAUUAAACCCGAGUGUUGCCUGCUUGUUCGCUGUGCAGCGUCGAAUCGCCCGCCAAGCUUAAGGGAAUCCCUUGACAAAUGUAGCGCACCGGGAAAAGAAAAUUGCAGGUCGAAAGCGUUGACAAAAAUUUUGCCAGGAGAUCCUGCUGCUAUAUCGCCAAGCAACCCGGUCGACAAAUUACAUUUCUGGGUUGUAAUAUGCUGAAAUAUGCAACGAGCAAUCACUGUUGUCGCCAUGAAUGCGAUCUCGUUUCUGGGCUUCAUUGCGUCUGUUGAAACUCCAGUAGAAAAUACUAGGAUACAUGUAUACGUUUUC